rnacentral:lncRNA from 1 species
UGGACACUAUGAUUUAUCAAUAAAAAAGAACAAUAUACAAGUGUAUAUAUAUCAAUGUUAAUGUACAAAGUGAGUGAAAAAUAGAAGAAGUAAAUUAUACUAACUGGGGUACAACGGCGAGCAUUCAGACGCGAGAAUGGACCAAAAGGAGAAGUAAGGAUGACCGAACCUAUAAAGGUAUAGAUACAAAAAACACAAAACACAGUUAUAUAUAUAUUAACCAAAAGAAAUGAGUAAAUUAACAUAUGUAGACCUGGUUAUGCAUAUAGAAUUAACGGAAAAAAAGGCAAAAAAGAACCCAUAAAUUUAUAAAUCAUAGGAACAUACCAUGCAUAUUAUCGCCCGCAGAAGAACCCAUAAAGUUAUACUAAAUCUUAAGAACCAUAGUAGACUUCAAUAUCCUCACCAGCAAUAGGAUGAUCUGUUUAUAAAUUCUGAAAUAAACUAAAAAUAAGUAUAUAUGAUCUAUAUUAUACAUAUAUAGCCUAGGAGAAAGAAAAAAAAGAUCCUAGCUAUAAAUUUUUAGAGAUAUUGAUACACAUCCUGGAGUCCUAAAGCAAAUGGGAUGGGCGCUGGGUAGAUUAUUAUUAUUAUAAACAUCUAUUGC